rnacentral:rRNA from 2 species
AUCGAUAAGCUUGAUAUCCACUGUGGAAUUCGCCCUUUUCCGGUUGAUCCUGCCGGACCUGACUGCUAUCGGAAUGAUACUAAGCCAUGCGAGUCAUUGUAGCAAUACAAGGCAGACGGCUCAGUAACGCGUAGUCAAUCUACCCUGUGGACGGGAAUAACCUCGGGAAACUGAGAAUAAUACCCGAUAGAACAUUAUGCCUGGAAUGGUUUAUGUUUCAAAUGAUUUAUCGCCAUAGGAUGGGACUGCGGCCUAUCAGUUUGUUGGUGAGGUAAUGGCCCACCAAGACUAUUACAGGUACGGGCUCUGAGAGGAGUAGCCCGGAGAUGGGUACUGAGACACGGACCCAGGCCCUAUGGGGCGCAGCAGGCGAGAAAACUUUGCAAUGUGCGAAAGCACGACAAGGUUAAUCCGGGUGGUUUCUGCUAAAGAAACCUUUUGCCAGUCCUAGAAACACUGGUGAAUAAGGGGUGGGCAAGUUCUGGUGUCAGCCGCCGCGGUAAAACCAGCACCUCAAGUGGUCAGGAUGAUUAUUGGGCCUAAAGCAUCCGUAGCUCGUUUUGUAAGUUUUCGGUUAAAUCCAUGCGCUCAACGUAUGGGCUGCCGGGAAUACUGCAUAACUAGGAAGUGGGAGAGGUAGACGGUACUCGGUAGGAAGGGGUAAAAUCCUUUGAUCUAUUGAUGACCACCUGUGGCGAAGGCGGUCUACCAGAACACGUUCGACGGUGAGGGAUGAAAGCUGGGGGAGCAAACCGGAUUAGAUACCCGGGUAGUCCCAGCUGUAAACUAUGCAAACUCAGUGAUGCAUUGGCUUGUGGCCAAUGCAGUGCUGCAGGGAAGCCGUUAAGUUUGCCGCCUGGGAAGUACGUACGCAAGUAUGAAACUUAAAGGAAUUGGCGGGGGGAGCACCACAAGGGGUGAAGCCUGCGGUUCAAUUGGA